GUGACCUGACGAGUGCUGUCACAUGGGUUCCUGAGAUGCGUGAAUAGACACGCAUUGUUCCUAAUGCCAGGUCCCAAGUCCCUCACAGCCACGGAACUGGGGCUUCAGAAUCUUAGGAGGUCUUGAUGACACGCAGAGCCCAUGAGACCAUAGAAGUCAGCCUGGAACCUUCUGUAAGGGAGUCAUCAACCUUUUAUAAGUUUUAAUACUGCAGUGCUUUCUUCAUCUACUUUGCAGUGAUAGCCUGCGCUCGAUGAGGGCAGUUCACGUAACAAAUGAGAAAGGAGUUGAAUCUUACUUACGCCCACAAUCCCUGAACAUGAAUAUGCUUAAAGCUUUCUCAAGCAUGGUGAUCUCAAAAAUCAAAAGGAUUGGGUUAUUUUGAUGAUCAAGAGCAUCUGUAACACAUAUGGCAUGUAGAAGAAAUCGAAAAGAAGAUGCUCACUUUCACCUCAUCCUGCCCUAUUUGUCUCAGAUAACAUGUAUCACCGUCUGAUAUGCAAUAGUAUAAGCUCUAUACACUUGAUGUCUGGAUUCUGUGAUGAGUUCCAGAUGCCUAAAACAAUGCCUAUAAUAUUGUAGAAUGCUCUAAAAAUACAUGGAGAAUGAAUGAA